CCCGAACUCGACCGUCAAAUCCCGCUGCGCCAAUGGUACUAAGUCUCAAGACUUGGGAGAGUAGGGCACCGCAAGGU
rnacentral:rRNA from 1 species